rnacentral:rRNA from 1 species
UACGUAGGGACCGAGCGUUGUCCGGAUUCAUUGGGCGUAAAGAGCUCGUAGGCGGUCUGUCGCGUCGAUCGUGAAAACUUGGGGCUUAACCCUGAGCUUGCGGUCGAUACGGGCAUGACUGGAGUUCGGCAGGGGAGACUGGAAUUCCUGGUGUAGCGGUGAAAUGCGCAGAUAUCAGGAGGAACACCGGUGGCGAAGGCGGGUCUCUGGGCCGAUACUGACGCUGAGGAGCGAAAGCGUGGGGAGCGAACAGG